rnacentral:rRNA from 1 species
AUACGUAGGGGGCAAGCGUUGUCCGGAAUUAUUGGGCGUAAAGGGUGCGUAGGCGGCUUUUUAAGUCAGAUGUGAAAGACCACGGCUUAACCGUGGGGUUGCAUUUGAAACUGGAAGGCUUGAGUAUCGGAGAGGGUAGUGGAAUUCCCAGUGUAGCGGUGAAAUGCGUAGAUAUUGGGAGGAACACCAGUGGCGAAGGCGACUACCUGGACGAAAACUGACGCUGAUGCACGAAAGCUAGGGGAGCAAACAGGAUUAGAUACCCUGGUAGUCCUAGCCGUAAACGAUGGGUACUAGGUGUAGGGGGUUUCGAUACCUUCUGUGCCGCAGUUAACGCAUUAAGUACCCCGCCUGGGGAGUACGUGCGCAAGCAUGAA